GUGGCGCUCGAAGAGGGGCUCAUGGCCUAUCAGCUUGUUGGUAGGGUAACGGCUUCCCAAGGCAUCGACGGGUAGCUGGUCUGAGAGGACGAUCAGCUCACACUGGCACUGAGACACGGGCCAGACUCCUACGGGAGGCAGCAGUGAGGAAUAUUGCGCAAUGGGCGAAAGCCUGACGCAGCGACGCCGCGUGGGGGAAGAAGGUCUUCGGAUUGUAAACCCCUUUCAGGAGGAAAGAUGGGGUGGGUAACCACUCGGACGGUACCUCCAGAAGAAGCCACGGCUAACUUCGUGCCAGCAGCCGCGGUAAUACGAAGGUGGCGAGCGUUGUUCGGAUUUACUGGGCGUAAAGAGCACGUAGGCGGUUUGGUAAGCCCCUUGGGAAAGCUCCAGGCUUAACCUGGAAAGGUCGAGGGGGACUGCCAGGCUAGAGGACGGGAGAGGAGCGCGGAAUUCCCGGUGUAGCGGUGAAAUGCGUAGAUAUCAGGAGGAAGGCCGGUGGCGAAGGC
rnacentral:rRNA from 1 species